AAAGCACAGAGGACUCUGUGUAGGGACCACGAUAGUUUUAUUUUCCUUGACCUGCUCCAUGGGAACACAGUCUUCCUUGAGCAACAAGUCCACAGUUUAUUCAGUACUGGAGUCAGACUGAGCAGGCUGUAGUUUUCUGAAUCCUCCCUUUCCCCCAUUUUGAAGAUUGGAACAGCCUUUCCACUUCUCCAAGAUUUCUCAAAGAGGACUCCAUCUGCCGUCAUGGAGGGAAGAUUUAAA